rnacentral:tRNA from 1 species
GCCGAGGUGGCGGAACCAGGUUAACGCGCACGGCUUGAGACCGUGUGGGACUUUGUCCCGUCUGGGUUCAAAUCCCAGCCUCGGCG